rnacentral:rRNA from 1 species
CCUACGGGAGGCUGCAGCAAGGAAUCUUCCGCAAUGGGCGACAGCCUGACGGAGCAACGCCGCGUGCGGGAUGACGCCCUUCGGGGUGUAAACCGCUUUUCUUCGGGAAGAACGCCGCUUCGGCGGCUUGACGGUACCGGAGGAAGAAGGACCGGCUAACUACGUGCCAGCAGCCGCGGUAAUACGUAGGGUCCGAGCGUUGUCCGGAGUUACUGGGCGUAAAGCGCGCGCAGGCGGCGGUGUUGGCUCGGCGUGAAAGCCCCCGGCUCAACCGG